GACCGUGCUAGAGUGCUGAUAUGCGGAAGGAGUGACUGAUUUAGAGUAGGAAAUCAGCAGAAAUCAUUAUUAGCUAGAUUAAUGUGAGAAAGUAGGUCCAGGCCUCAGGGACAUAGAAAUUGCAGCUUCUCAGCAAGGAAGAAAUGGCAAAGCUGGGCCACUGCCUAAGUUCUCAGGACCUUGUAUAGCAAUGACCUUCAGUAUACACAGCACAAAUCCGUUGAAUGAACAAGCUGAGAUGAAGGAUGCGUUUUGCCGGGAGAGACUAUCGGUUUAGUCUGCUCCACAGUGAACUUGGAGGCCCAGUGUCUCUGCUUUCCAUCUUCAGACCAAGAUGCAGAACUCUCGCCUGUCAUGCCUGCCACCAUGUUCUCCUCUGUGAUGAUAAUGGACUAAGCCUCCAAAACUUUCCAUGAGUAUGAGAAAGAACCUGAAGAGGGCAUGGGGCAGGGAGGUUCCUAGGGAAGAAGACGGAACGCUCCUUGACUUCUCCUGAGCUUACAGCAGCACUUUCUCCUGGUGUACUAUUUCUUCUCAAUUUUAAGAGAAAGAAAACUUCAAAUUCACAUGGGCAAAAAGAACAGAGGAACAAUGUCAUGCUGGAAUAUAAAACAAAUGCAUGUUCAGAUCCCAGACUACUUAACUGCCUUGCUGCCACCAGAAUCAAUGUGUCUGAUUGUUUUCUUGGGAGAAUGAAGAAGGUAUGGCUAAUAAAACACAAGGUAAAUGCCACAUAACUUGCUACUCAUCAGUAACAUCCAUGCACUGCAGAGAAAACUGUUCAAACUAGACUUCUCUGGGAUUCUACAACCAAUCACUGCUGACUCCCUGUCUUCUCUCUCAGUAGUUAUUAAUAACCUAUCAUCUAUUGGUCUACUCUCUUGCCCAUCCUUCCCUUCCCCUAAGACCCACCUAUUUGAGCAGACUUGCCAAUAAAGACCGUUUUCUCUCAGU
rnacentral:lncRNA from 1 species